AGCCAUGAAGAUUACUUGAAAACGAAGCUGAAAGCUGAGAAGUGGGAGAAAGUGGCCAAGGAAACGGACAUACGAAAUGAUUCUUAAUAGCUCAUACACUCUUAUCAAUCUUCUGUAUCAGUUCCAAGGACCAAAAGACUGAACUUCCAG
rnacentral:misc_RNA from 1 species